AAAUAUAAUUCUCAUCAUAACCUGUCCAGCCCAUUCUCAAUUAGAUCAUUCCCUUAGGUACAGCAGCCACUUUCACAUUACCAACCUUCUUCAUCUCUAUCCCAUGACUGUUCAAACCAAAUCUCUAGAAUUUUCCAAAUCACAAGCUAACCAACCUCUUAUCAUUACUGUAGGCCCAGAGAUGUCAUGAAUAAGACCUGUCAGACAUUGGAGCCUACAUCCACUCUUCUCUGGUGCAGUGGGCAGGACCUUAAUCUCAAAUACAGUAAGCUGCUGAAAACUAAAAACUCACCUUCUCUGACUAAAAAAAGGUAACCUUGUAACAAAGUUUCAACCCAAAAAGGUAGAAGUAGAAGAUUUCAAAGUAUGUCUAAGAGAGUCAGAUUUCCUGACACAGGCACCAUCACUUUCUCUCACUCUUUUCUUCUUGCCUGAGGUAUAAAUGUGUUGCUAGGAGCAGCAGCAACCAUCUAGGAACCAUGAGGAAGGACAAUUGAGGAAUUGCAAAGAAGUGGAUAUAACUUGAGCCUCUGAACCACCACCUAUUCUGGACUUGUUGCAAGCAAAGUAUAAUAACAAUAAAUAAGCCAACAUGUGUUUCA
rnacentral:lncRNA from 12 species